CCUACGGGAGGCAGCAGUGGGGAAUAUUGGACAAUGGGCGAAAGCCUGAUCCAGCAAUGCCGCGUGAGUGAAGAAGGCCUUCGGGUUGUAAAGCUCUUUUACCCGGGAAGAUAAUGACUGUACCGGGAGAAUAAGCCCCGGCUAACUCCGUGCCAGCAGCCGCGGUAAUACGGAGGGGGCUAGCGUUGUUCGGAAUUACUGGGCGUAAAGCGUACGUAGGCGGCCAUUCAAGUCAGAGGUGAAAGCCCGGGGCUCAACUCCGGAAUUGCCUUUGAAACUAGGUGGCUUGAACACGGGAGAGGUGAGUGGAAUUCCGAGUGUAGAGGUGAAAUUCGUAGAUAUUCGGAAGAACACCAGUGGCGAAGGCGGCUCACUGGACCGUUGUUGACGCUGAGGUACGAAAGCGUGGGGAGCAAACAGGAUUAGAUACCCUGGUAGUCCACGCCGUAAACGAUGAGAACUAGCUGUCAGGGCUCUUAGAGCUUUGGUGGCGCAGCUAACGCAUUAAGUUCUCCGCCUGGGGAGUACGGCCGCAAGGUUAAAACUCAAAUGAAAUUGACCGG
rnacentral:rRNA from 1 species